rnacentral:lncRNA from 1 species
UCAUCUAUGUGAUGUAGUCUCUGGGCUCGCCUCCGAGUGGUUGAAGAGCACAACACCCAGUGGGCUGUGGUAGUCCUAUGUUAUCUCUCAUACUUGAAGAGCAUUUCCGAUGGUUGAAGAACGUUACCGGUAGUCUCUCGUGCUUGGUCACAAUACGUACUUGCAAAAAGGUGAAGNNNNNNNNNNCUGGAGAACGUUACCGGUAGUAUGGAGGUAGUCUCUCGUGCUUGGUCACAAUACGUACUUGCAAAAAGGUGAAGAAAAUAACAACGAUCAUGUCAACCGGCAACAUCAAACGAUAAUUACCAUGAAACAUAUUUUGGUUACGAGUAGUUAUUGCUGAACCAAAAACAUUUGAAAUUUUGAAAGCAUGGAUGCAAUGCAGUGUAUGUAGAUUACAUGUGCGUUACAACUGAAGUUGUGACAUCUGAUGAUGUUUGCAUCACGUUCUUGCCACAUACGUCAAGAACAAGCCAUAUUUUAUCGGAACCAUUGAGUAAGUAAGAGAAAACUAAUAAUAAUAUGUGAUGCAGCAACGGUUACCAUAUCAAAUCUCUUGAACUAAUACAAAUAUAGUCCUGAUCACACAUUAGAUCUUAGAACUGUUUUAGGCUUUUAUUUAAAUUCAGGCAUCUUAACCGAGUGCACUCAACAAUAGUAGUACACUAAAUACUUGGAAUUUUCUUGCGAAGGCCGAGUAAAACAUAAAAUCCAAACCAUAGUAUGAUUUCAUCUUAUCUGGUGGUUUGGUAGUGCGACUAUUAAUGUGAUCCAUCUUUAGAUCAAUAAAUUCCAUUUUUGGUCUUAACCUACAAACAAAGAUUGUUCCAUAAGUAUCGCAGCCGUCAAUCAUAGGAGAAUCUAAGAGUGUACAAGUAUAUAUACAGAAAAUGGAAUCUACCUUUAAAGUUGAUCUUGCAGAUCCCUAUUUUUCGCCAAUUCAUGUCAUAUUGUGCGCAUCCAUGAUGACCUCAAGGUAAGAUAUUUGCACAAACCUUCCCACUCACUCGCUAUAUUCUACCUGUCAAUGAAAACAGACCUUACUUAUCACAGAAGAAAAUGGGAAACCUAACUACGACAUGUAUGCUAAGUCGCUUCCCAUAGAGACAAUACUACAAUGGCUCAAUGCCUCAAUGCCUGAAGCUCUCUCUUUUAGGAGAUUUUACAGUAAAGAAUACAAGCUGCCACUGAACACAAGGAGUCAGCAAGAAUAUUUAGUGUCAGAGAGAUGUCUAGAGCACCUAUGUUAAUGUUGCCCAUACAGUUGAUUUACCUCUCAC